CCCUUGUAUUAAAAUAAAUUAAAAUUAGUAUAUAAUGAAAUUUAAUAAUUUUUGGCGGUUAAUUAUUAUUUAGAGGAGCUUGUAUUAUUAAUAGAAUUAGCUCUUUAUAUCUAAAUAAUAAAUAAUAUAUUCAUCUCCGUUAUAAAAUGUUAAAUUGAAUUAUAAAUUUUUGUUAUUAAAUUUCAGGUCAAGAUGUAGUAUUUAUUAGGGAAUAUUAGCUACAGUUAUGAAAUGUAUGGUUUAUAAAAAAGAAUUUUAAUAAUAAAUUGAAUUUAAUUGUAAUUAUGAUUAAAAUAUUAUAAUGAAUGGGAAUAGUUAAUGUAUAUAUUGCCCGUCACUUCUAUUUAAGGG
rnacentral:rRNA from 1 species